AUAUUCAACAGCACAUAUACUAAAAUUGGAAUGAUACAGAGAGUAUUAGCAUGGCCUCUGUGCAAAGAUGACAUGCAAAUUCAUGAAGCAUUCCAUAUUUUU
rnacentral:snRNA from 1 species